rnacentral:rRNA from 1 species
GAGAAACGCUGGCGGCGUGCCUAACACAUGCAAGUCGAACGCUCUGUGGUCGUAAGACCGCAGGGAGUGGCGGACGGGUGAGUAACACGUGGGUACCUGCCUUCAAGUGAGGAAUACCGCCGGGAAACCGGUGACAAGACCGCAUGUGCUCUCGCAAGAGAGCAAAGCUUCGCAAGAGGCGCUUGAAGAGGGGCCUGCGCUCGAUUAGUUAGCUGGUGGGGUAAUGGCCUACCAGGACUAUGAUCGAUAGCUGGUCUGAGAGGAUGAGCAGCCACAC